GGUGAGUAACACGUGGGUAACCUACCUAUAAGACUGGGAUAACUUCGGGAAACCGGAGCUAAUACCGGAUAAUAUUUCGAACCGCAUGGUUCGAUAGUGAAAGAUGGCUCUGCUAUCACUUAUAGAUGGACCUGCGCCGUAUUAGCUAGUUGGUAAGGUAACGGCUUACCAAGGCAACGAUACGUAGCCGACCUGAGAGGGUGAUCGGCCACACUGGAACUGAGACACGGUCCAGACUCCUACGGGAGGCAGCAGUAGGGAAUCUUCCGCAAUGGGCGAAAGCCUGACGGAGCAACGCCGCGUGAGUGAUGAAGGUCUUCGGAUCGUAAAACUCUGUUAUUAGGGAAGAACAAACGUGUAAGUAACUGUGCACGUCUUGACGGUACCUAAUCAGAAAGCCACGGCUAACUACGUGCCAGCAGCCGCGGUAAUACGUAGGUGGCAAGCGUUAUCCGGAAUUAUUGGGCGUAAAGCGCGCGUAGGCGGUUUUUUAAGUCUGAUGUGAAAGCCCACGGCUCAACCGUGGAGGGUCAUUGGAAACUGGAAAACUUGAGUGCAGAAGAGGAAAGUGGAAUUCCAUGUGUAGCGGUGAAAUGCGCAGAGAUAUGGAGGAACACCAGUGGCGAAGGCGACUUUCUGGUCUGUAACUGACGCUGAUGUGCGAAAGCGUGGGGAUCAAACAGGAUUAGAUACCCUGGUAGUCCACGCCGUAAACGAUGAGUGCUAAGUGUUAGGGGGUUUCCGCCCCUUAGUGCUGCAGCUAACGCA
rnacentral:rRNA from 1 species